AUUGAACGCUGGCGGCAGGCCUAACACAUGCAAGUCGAACGAGUGGCGGACGGGUGAGUAAUGUCUGGGAAACUGCCUGAUGGAGGGGGAUAACUACUGGAAACGGUAGCUAAUACCGCAUACCAUCAGAUGUGCCCAGAUGGGAUUAGCUAGUUGGUGGGGUAACGGCUCACCAAGGCGACGAUCCCUAGCUGGUCUGAGAGGAUGACCAGCCAACCGGGAAUGGAGAAACGGUCCAGAGUCCUACGGGAGGCAGCAGUGGGGAAGAUUGAACAAUGGGCGCAAGCCGGAUGCAGCCAUGCCGCGUGUAUGAAGAAGGCCUUCGGGUUAUAAAGUACUUUCAGCGGGGAGGCGUUACCCGCAGAAGAAGCACCGGCUAACUCCGUGCCAGCAGCCGCGGUAAUAC
rnacentral:rRNA from 1 species